rnacentral:rRNA from 1 species
UACGUAGGGUGCAAGCGUUAAUCGGAAUUACUGGGCGUAAAGCGUGCGCAGGCGGUUUCGUAAGUCUGUCGUGAAAUCCCCGGGCUUAACCUGGGAAUGGCGAUGGAGACUGCGAGGCUAGAGUUUGGCAGAGGGGGGUAGAAUUCCACGUGUAGCAGUGAAAUGCGUAGAGAUGUGGAGGAACACCGAUGGACGAAGGCAGCCCCCUGGGUCAAAACUGACGCUCAUGCACGAAAGCUGGGGAGCAAACAGG